rnacentral:lncRNA from 1 species
CUUCUUCUCUCUUUCCCCCAUAACAACAUCCAGUUUCUCAUAUCUGCUGCCAGACCCACCUUGCCUCCAAGCCUCAUCCUCAGCACAUGCACGUGUGCAUUCAGCCUCCCUGCUCAGUAGCUAUCUCAAUUCAGCCAUGCUCCAAACCCGAAAACACGUUGGCAAGGCAAGCUUCCAGUCUCACUGGUCUGUGCCAUCCAAAGAGUCCUUGGAUAGGAACAGCAUGAAAGUCCCCUGGACAUGGAAGGAGAAAAGACACGAAUUGCAAACUGCCUCAUUCCUUAAAGUAUUUUCUGUGUCCUCUCAGGGGGUGACAUCACCCUGCUAACGGUGGCCUCCUCUCAUGCUUUCAGAGAAGUUUGAUUCCUUUUCAGGUAUCAUUUGCAAACCCGGUAAUCCAUCAUUGUUUGACACUGGUUAACAAUCAUUUGAUCAUUGGUUAACAAUCUCAGUUUAAAGCAACCCAUCUGGUUUUACCUUUAACGGAUUACGGGCAACACAUGUGAUCUCUUUUGCAGGCAGAGUUAUAACACUGGGAAAAAAACAUCUGGAUAAUUUUCAGCUCUCACAGCUGCUUGCAAAGCCGUGGACAUGACAGCAACAGUAUUAUAUCCUAGCACCUGGAUCAGAUGGGCCUCUAUUACCUUAGAACUGAAAGGCAUCAAAGCCCAAUUCAGAGCAGACCUAUUUGAAGGAAGACCUGCAGAACAACCUGAGAGCAAUAUAAGGCGCUCAGACGUUUUUUCUUUUCACUUCUUCUCUGAGUACUUUUACAUCAUGCCUACUUAUCACAACAGCCUACAGAAAAAGAAUAUGCUCUGCCAGCAUGCUUCACUGCUACAAGCGCACUGGAUUGUAACAUACGGUCCAAAUCAGCUGGUACCAGAAAAAAAGGGGCGCAGAGAAAAAGGCACAGAAAAUACCCACUGUGUUGUUGGGAAAAUCACUGCAAAUGAUUGUCUUGAGACUUGGAGGGGAAAAAAAGCCCACUACCACAACUAGCAGAUGAGCUUCAAACCCAUGGGAUCAUCAAGGCACAGGAUGGGGGAAAGUGCGUAGGGGCAGGGGAACAGCGUGAAGUCCUCUGCUCAAUGAAGAGCAGUCAGAUGUAAUAAAUAUCAGCAGCAGCUGCGCA